rnacentral:rRNA from 1 species
UACGGGGGGGGCAAGCGUUGUUCGGAAUUACUGGGCGUAAAGGGCUCGUAGGCGGCCAACUAAGUCGGAUGUGAAAUCCCCAGGCUUAACCUGGGAACUGCGUCGGAUACUGGAUGGCUUGAAUCCGGGAGAGGGAUGCGGAAUUCCAGGUGUAGCGGUGAAAUGCGUAGAUAUCUGGAGGAACACCGGUGGCGAAGGCGGCAUCCUGGACCGAUAUUGACGCUGAGGAGCGAAAGCUAGGGGAGCAAACGGG